GACGAACGCUGGCGGCGCGCUUAACACAUGCAAGUCGAACGGAAAGGCCCGCUUUCCCUUGUGGAUUGCGGGUACUCGAGUGGCGAACGGGUGAGUAACACGUGAGUGAUCUGCCCCCAACUCGGGUAUAAGCCGGGGAAACUGGGUCUAAUUCCCGAUAGGACUGCAGGGUGGUGCCUGUGGUGGAAAACGAUGUUUUGGUGGUUGGGGAUGAGCACGCGGCUUAUCAGCUUGUUGGUGGGGUAGUGGCCUACCAAGGCGGCGUCGGGUAGCCGGCCUGGGAGGGUGGACGGCGACACGGGGCAGACGCUUAGGCGCAGCAGCAGUGGGGAGGAAGGCGCGAGGAGCGGAAGCCAGUGGCAGCGAGGCCGAGGGGGGGAUGACGGGUUUGGGAUGGUAGCCUCCGGGCGGUAGAGAGGAUGCGACCUGGAUGGAAGGGGGGUGACGGUAGUGGGAGAAGAAGCACCGGCUAACUACGUG
rnacentral:rRNA from 1 species